UACGUAGGGUGCGAGCGUUAAUCGGAAUUACUGGGCGUAAAGGGUGAGUAGGCGGAAGUUUAAGUUAGAUGUGAAAUACCUUGGCUUAACCAAGGGGGGUCAUUUAAUACUGAAUUUCUAGAGUAUAUCAGAGGGGGGUAGAAUUCCAAGUGUAGCAGUGAAAUGCGUAGAGAUUUGGAGGAAUAUCGAAGGCGAAGGCAGCCUCCUGGGAAGAUACUGACGCUGAGUCACGAAAGCGUGGGGAGCAAACAGG
rnacentral:rRNA from 1 species